rnacentral:lncRNA from 1 species
GUAAAGGUGAAAGGCUCUAUGUCCUGGGAAGAGGCAGUGUCCACUACUAGACAGUAUUCCAUCAGAAGCAAGUAAAGAUUUCCUAGGGGUAAUUAUUUCCCACUGCCUCAGACCACAGGAGAGUGUGAACAGCUAACAAAUAAAGCAGACAUUUAUCAAGCCAGUAAGCAGAACUGGAUGGAGCUUGCCAUGAAAGCCAAGGCCAGAUGUUUGGAGAUGUUUGGGGGACUGGAGAAGGAUUUCCCUGGAGUUUGUGCAAG